CGGAACGUGCCCUGAAGUGGGGGAUAACGUAGCGAAAGUUACGCUAAUACCGCAUAUUCUGUGAGCAGGAAAGCAGGGGAUCGCAAGACCUUGUGCUUUAGGAGCGGCCGAUGUCGGAUUAGCUAGUUGGUGAGGUAAAGGCUCACCAAGGCGACGAUCCGUAGCGGGUCUGAGAGGAUGAUCCGCCACACUGGGACUGAGACACGCCCCAGACUCCUACGGGAGGCAGCAGUGGGGAAUUUUGGACAAUGGGCGCAAGCCUGAUCCAGCCAUGCCGCGUGAGUGAAGAAGGCCUUCGGGUUGUAAAGCUCUUUCGGCGGGGAAGAAAUUGCUUCGGCUAAUAUCCGGAGUAGAUGACGGUACCCGCAUAAGAAGCACCGGCUAACUACGUGCCAGCAGCCGCGGUAAUACGUAGGGUGCGAGCGUUAAUCGAAAUUACUGGGCGUAAAGCGUGCGCAGGCGGUUGUAUAAGUCAGAUGUGAAAUCCCCGGGCUCAACCUGGGAACUGCAUUUGAGACUGUACGGCUAGAGUGUAGCAGAGGGGGGUAGAAUUCCACGUGUAGCAGUGAAAUGCGUAGAGAUGUGGAGGAAUACCGAUGGCGAAGGCAGCCCCCUGGGUUACUACUGACGCUCAUGCACGAAAGCGUGGGGAGCAAACAGGAUUAGAUACCCUGGUAGUCCACGCCCUAAACGAUGUCAACUAGGUGUUGGAAGGGUUAAACCUUUUAGUGCCGUAGCUAACGCGUGAAGUUGACCGCCUGGGGAGUACGGCCGCAAGGCUAAAACUCAAAGGAAUUGACGGGGACCCGCACAAGCGAUGGAUGAUGUGGAUUAAUUCGAUGCAACGCGAAAAACCUUACCUACCCUUGACAUGUCAGGAAUCCCGGAGAGAUUUGGGAGUGCUCGAAAGAGAACCUGAACACAGGUGCUGCAUGGCUGUCGUCAGCUCGUGUCGUGAGAUGUUGGGUUAAGUCCCGCAACGAGCGCAACCCUUGUCAUUAAUUGCCAUCAUUCAGUUGGGCACUUUAAUGAGACUGCCGGUGACAAACCGGAGGAAGGUGGGGAUGACGUCAAGUCCUCAUGGCCCUUAUGGGUAGGGCUUCACACGUCAUACAAUGGUCGGUUCAGAGGGCUGCCAACCCGCGAGGGGGAGCCAAUCUCAGAAAGCCGAUCGUAGUCCGGAUUGGAGUCUGCAACUCGACUCCAUGGAG
rnacentral:rRNA from 1 species